CGUAGGGGGGCUAGCGUUGUCCGGAAUCAUUGGGCGUAAAGCGCGCGUAGGCGGCCCGGUAAGUCCGCUGUAAAAGUCAAAGGCUCAACCUUUGAAUGUCAGUGGAUACUGCCGGGCUAGAGUCCGGAAGAGGCGAGUGGAAUUCCUGGUGUAGCGGUGGAAUGCGCAGAUAUCAGGAGGAACACCAACGGCGAAGGCAGCUCGCUGGGACGGUACUGACGCUGAGGCGCGAAAGCGUGGGGAGCGAACAGGAUUAGAUACCCUGGUAGUCCACGCCGUAAACGAUGGGCACUAGGUGUGGGAGGUGUCGACUCCUCCCGUGCCGGCGCUAACGCAUUAAGUGCCCCGCCUGGGGAGUACGGCCGCAAGGCUA
rnacentral:rRNA from 1 species